CUGCCCCUCGUGUCCGGCCUGAGAAGGCGCUGGGGGUCACCAGUGCGGUCAAAACCGGCUCCCCUUGUCAGGCGCCGUGUAAACACGAGGUUUAUACACGAGGUUUAAACACGACCGGACCGUUAAAAAGUGAGCGUGAGGAGAACUUUCCAGGCGAUGUGAAACACAGAUAGAACAUUUUGCUCCCUUUUGGUGUAGCUGGAGACUCAGAUGACCUAGCAGAAACUGAGAAAAUUUGAGAGAAGAUGGGAGAUAGCCGUCUGCACUCCUGAUUUUUCCUGCAUCUGCUGUGGACUGAACUCACAUAUAUUACAGCCUCUUGAAAGCUGAUGAAGAGGUAAAAUGGCUGGAGGCAAGCUGGCUGUUGGGAGUUCUGAUUCUUGGGUUGACAGUGUGGAGUUACAGGAUAAACACUUUGGAGUAAGACUCUUCUGCUUAUAGGAUUGGGCGUGAAGCUAUUGCAAAUUAGAGUCUGAGUAGUAACUGCAACUUGAGAAGAAUAGAACCAUAAUUCAGCUAAAUUGUGAUGUCUCCAGAGUGUGGUAUUUCUCUGCUGUCUUGAUCCUAUUUCUCACAGAAGGAAUUUAUGCUUCACUUGAAUCUUGCCCAUUUUGCAAACCUGUGUGGACGCCUUUGGAUGUGUGGUCCAGAGGACUUGCCCGCAGAGCAAACCAAGGUGAGGUGGGACAUAAGGCGCCAGUCCUGAAAGGGAUUAUAGCAAGAUACCAAACUGAAAUCUUCCAUACUCUGAUGGGUGGCAAGGUAAGACAGAGCACUUCUAGAGAAUGGUAUAAUUGAAAUGUAAAUGAAAAAAGAGUUUAGUGGUAGUAAGAAUCUCCAACAGAGAUAUUAUCCCCACUCCUGAAAAUGAAACCUGUUUUCUGCAAUCCGCAAUUUGUACUGGGACAAA